GUAGAACUAGAGAGACAUUUCCUAACGAUUUUCAUGAUAAAAGAUCACAUUGAAUCUUACCUAUACAAUGCAUAUAUACUAUAAAUCCUCAUAAAAUAUAACAAGCAAAGUAAUAAAAGUGUACUACAGUAUACUUUAUUAACAGAAUAUGCAAUGCCCAUAGCAAAAUCAAAAUUACAUUACAAGUACCACAAAAAUAUAUAACUAUCUGAUCAAUAUAAUGAUCACAACAACUUCUUUACUUUUACAUUCAUUAUUUCUGAACACAUUCUAAAUUUAUUCAGAAAAAACUUUUGUAAAUGAAUUUAAUAUUCUGUAACAUUUUACUUUGAAAGAAUGUUAAUUUGGUGUUGAAUCAAUUCGCCUUUAAAUCUAUUGAGUUCUGGGUAUUAGUUUCAAAAAUGUACCCAAAAAUAUUGUGAUUGGCUUACAGCAUUCUAGAAAAUUGGAAACCAGUAUUGCAUUUUUUCCUGUAUUACUGCUGUUCUAACAUUCACUGAAUUUGUAUUAUUUUGUAGCAGAAAAUAUUUUUCAAGUAUGUCAUAUAUGUUUUAUACGUUUUUAGCACAACAAUAAGUUUAAUAGCAUUAUAUCAAAUACUUACAAAUUAAUUGCUGCCUCACAAUUUAAUAAUAGUUCGUACAUCAUGUCUUAGAUAUUAGAUUUUUACAAUGCAAACAAUUUGUAUUCAUUAAUAAAAAUUUAAAUCAUAAUUUUGAUAAUCCCUUUGCCGAAAUUCCAUUCGAUAAUUUUUUAUAAGUUUUGAAUAUUUCAUGCAAUGAAACUAUAGAAAUAUCAUUUAUCUUGCAAAAAACAUGUUUUAUUAAAUUUAAUUGUACUAUGAUAUUUUUAUGGGUUUUCAAUUUAAAAAAUAACCUGUAAAUAAAUGGCAAUGUAUAAACAAUGGUGGUAUGUGUUUUAUAAACAUGUAUAUAAUUGAACAAAUGACAAACAUACUGUAUGAUCUUUAAUAAAAAAUAAUUAUAUAUGAUGAACUUUGUUUUAAAAAGGACAAUGUUUGACUAGUGUAAAAAAAACAUAACUUACAAAAAGAAUGUGAGAUUCUUUAUAAAUUAAUGGCCAUUAUUUAAAUAGAAAAUAUUUAUACAAAAUACAAUGAGGAUUCUUUGAAAACUGAGGAAAACCAAUUUUCAGAGGAUUUUUUUUAGGUAAGAUGAAAUAACCAAUUUAAAAAAUCCCCAUAAUACAAAUGUUUAGUUCCAAGGAGAAUACAAAUUAUGAUUCCACAAAAUAAACUACAUGUUCAUUUCAAAAUAGCACAUGUUUAUCCAACCACAAAAGUUGAAUCAACAUAAAUAAAUGAAUCCACACUUAGUAAAAAGUAAACAAUGUUUUUUGUUUACAUUUACUGUUACUAAAGCACCAACAUAUGGUAGUUAAUUAAUCUGUACGAGUAGACAUAUUGCACUUCACCUCAAGAUUAAAAAAAGAUGACAAAUGUCACUUUUAUCUUGAGAACAAAAAUUAAACCUGACAUUGUCUGAAUUAAAUUAAUCGACACAUGAAAACAUGAAAUAAUGCAGAGCAUUUACCUGAGGAUUUUAGUUCUAUGUUUUAAGAGUUGUUAGUGUAAAUUUACUCUAUAGUAAGUUUCAAUUCCUGGAAUCAGAAAUUCUACAGAUGUGUACAAAAAAUUAACAGCACUUCUUUAAUAUAUAUGGAACUAUUCUAUAAAGACUGAAGGCUGCAUUGAAAACUGUAACAAAAGCUGAGUACGUUCACAAAUGUAAACCCUUCAUUUCUCUAAUUGAGCAGUGGGAAAAAAUAUUUCUCCACACAAGUUAAAUAUCUGUACUCAGCAAAGGAUUGAUGGAAAUUUAUUUAUGAAGUUCAAUUUUCAGGAUUUCUUAUGAAUUUCUUCUGAUUUAAAAUCCAAAUAACACUUUAUAAAUUGUGUGUGUCCCAAGCACUUUUCUGAAUUUAGAAUCAUAUUCAAAACAGUGUGGCUGUGGCCAUUGAUUGACGACCUAAAUUAUCCCAUUGACUGGGACAGAUUAGGUGAACGUUUGUCUG
rnacentral:lncRNA from 1 species